ensembl:lncRNA
CGGACGUUGAGGUCUCCUAAGUACAGUGAUUACCACCAUUAUCAGUCUUACUCAAAUCCCCUGACCGAGGGCUAUGGCUAAGCCAUGGGGGGUCAGCAAGGCAGCAGCACAGGGAAUGUAAUCGUAUCAAUAAACAAAGAGGGCAAAAUUAAGUAAGAAACGCCCUGCGGGUCCUACAUGCCGCCAUUGCAAAGGAGGACCAAGCAACAGAGUGAAGAACAGAAGGUGGGAUGAUGAAAAAGGAAUGUGCUGCUAGCGGCUGGAGGCAAACGACGCUGGGAGCUGCUUGGGAGCGACUGUCCUCCAGUGUUUUUUGACCUUUCUGUUGACUGCUCAGUCAUCACAACGUGAGAUCUCCGCAGCGGCAUGCCAAGUCAGAUGAUGAAGACCCCUGGCCUCAAGCCCCCAUCCCACGCCCCCCUGCCCCCCACCAUUCAUAUCCAUACGUGGAGGAGGGCCGUGGGAUCGACGGCGCCGAGGCUUGUUAGAGCUGAGGCAGCAGCGAGGAUGGAUGCUACUUCAAAGCCAGAGUGAGUGAGGUAUCUGUGUGAAGCUGUGGAUGGAGGGGUUUUGGAGCGGCUCUUUGGUUGCCCAGGUCUUUCACUCCAGCCACUCCGGAUGCGUUGUGGAUAUGCAGUUCCAUCGAAGCCUUUCACCCACCAUAAGAAGACUCCUCCUGACGGAAGACAAAUUUCCCGACAAGGUGGAGGCCAUCUGCUUUUUAUAAUUAUUACAGCCAACAUGAUGGAGAACCCAGGGCAAGCAUUUGCAGAAGUCAUUAGGCCCAGUCUCUCCUAAAAACAUCUGGACAGAGAUGUUGCAUAAGUGUCCUCGCUGUGGCUGUCGGCGGAGGCCCCGGUGUCCCUGUGUCCCUCCUCACACUCACUCCGCUGAUUGGCUCCCGGCGGGGGAGAGG